ensembl:lncRNA
CAUGUUGGUUGUGAGGGUCGUGAGCCCAGGGAAGAAGUGCUGCUACUGGUGGCAUCUUCUGUUCUUCUCCCAGGGCCAGCACUGAGGUCCGGGGGAUCAGGUUGCUCAGCUUCGUCCCGGCUUCAGCGUCUCCAGCGACGGGGCCGGCUUUUCCCCUGUUUCCUCCAGCAGAGCCAGGAGGCUUGGUGGCUUGGUCAAGGCAUGCCGGUCUUGAGGGCCCUCAGCAGUGUGGGGAGCACGAAGUACACACUGCUGCUGCCUGCGGCCACCCUGGCUCAGCCCCAGCAGUGCACCAAGAGCUGCCUUUGGUUCCUGAUUAUGCACACACCCACAUUUGUGGGGCCCAGCUUUGCUUAGAUACUUGCGUAGCCAUGCAGGGGCUCAGUCAGUGGUUCAGGCCAUGACUCAGCAGUUCCCAUACAGCAGAAGGGGACCUCUGCUUCUGGAAGGAUGGAGGAGAAAGUGAGGAACUCACCAGCCCUUGUUUACCGUCUGGUUUCAAAUCUGGGUGGCAGCAUGCUGAGAUAGUGUACGAAAUCAAAGGACAGCAGCCUCUGUGUCACUCUUGCUCUGACAAAGCAGCAAAGAUGCUCCACCAGAGAGCGCAUAAAGAAGGGACUGGGGAUGUGAGAUAGGACCUCCAGCUGGUACGGGCAAACUUACCCUCUCCUCAGCCACUAAGGAUGUGGUGCAGGACCAUGUCUGAGACCUUGCACAAGUCCUGAACUGCAUUUUGAGUGAUCUCUCCUGAGAAAGACUUUGCUUUGUGAGUUUGAGUUGGUGCCUCGGCACGGUGGUGGAAUUGCUGGAUCAAAUGAGAGAGGCCCGUGAGUUUGGCACAGAGCUCGUGAUGCAUUUGGCAGCGCUGGUGUUGGGUCAGGGUAAGAAGUAAGGGCCAUAAACGUGAGUGAGCCACAAAAAGAAACCCCGAACGCAGCUCGCUGGACUUCACAGGUGUUCGUGCCUCGGCAG